rnacentral:rRNA from 1 species
AGUUCGGAUCGCAGGCUGCAACCCGCCUGCGUGAAGUUGGAAUUGCUAGUAAUCGCGGAUCAGCAUGCCGCGGUGAAUACGUUCCCGGGCCUUGUACACACCGCCCGUCACACCAUGGAAGUCGGUAAUGCCCGAAGUCAGUAGCCUAACCGCAAGGGGGGCGCUGCCGAAGGCAGGAUUGAUGACUGGGGUGAAGUCGUAACAAGGUACC